rfam:Drosophila ananassae strain TSC#14024-0371.13 Ctg01_15697, whole genome shotgun sequence.
GUUUUUCUCCUGGUAUCCACUGUAGGCCUAUAUGUAUUUCGACCAUAAGGCACGCGGUGAAUGCCAAGAGCGAACGA